rnacentral:rRNA from 1 species
CGGGGCUACCCGCUGAGUUUAAGCAUAUCAAUAAGCGGAGGA